CAGUGCAACAAUGAAAGGGCA
rnacentral:miRNA from 1 species